rnacentral:rRNA from 1 species
GACGAACGCUGGCGGCGUGCCUAAUACAUGCAAGUCGAGCGGACGGAUGGGAGCUUGCUCCCAGACCGUCAGCGGCGGCCGGGUGAGUAACACGUGGGCAACCUGCCUGUAAGACUGGGAUAACUCCGGGAAACCGGGGCUAAUACCGGAUAACUCUUUCCCUCACAUGAGGGAAAGCUGAAAGAUGGCAUCUCGCUAUCACUUACAGAUGGGCCCGCGGCGCAUUAGCUAGUUGGUGAGGUAACGGCUCACCAAGGCGACGAUGCGUAGCCGACCUGAGGGGGUGAUCGGCGACACUGGGACUGAGACACGGCCCAGACUCCUACGGGAGGCAGCAGUAGGGAAUCGUCCGCAAUGGACGAAAGUCUGACGGAGCAACGCCGCGUGAGUGAUGAAGGUUUUCGGAUCGUAAAACUCUGUUGUCAGGGAAGAACAAGUACCGGAGUAACUGCCGGUACCUUGACGGUACCUGACCAGAAAGCCACGGCUAACUACGUG